GUCCCUGUAGCGCAAUAGCUAGCGCGUUGGAUUUCUAAUCCCAAGAGCGUGGGUUCGAAUCCCACCUGGGUUG